rnacentral:rRNA from 1 species
GACGAACGCUGGCGGCGUGCUUAACACAUGCAAGUCGAACGGAAAGGCCCUGCUUUUGUGGGGUGCUCGAGUGGCGAACGGGUGAGUAACACGUGAGUAACCUGCCCUUGACUUUGGGAUAACUUCAGGAAACUGGGGCUAAUACCGGAUAGGAGCUCCUGCUGCAUGGUGGGGGUUGGAAAGUUUCGGCGGUUGGGGAUGGACUCGCGGCUUAUCAGCUUGUUGGUGGGGUAGUGGCUUACCAAGGCUUUGACGGGUAGCCGGCCUGAGAGGGUGACCGGCCACAUUGGGACUGAGAUACGGCCCAGACUCCUACGAGAGGCAGCAGUGGGGAAUAUUGCACAAUGGGCGGAGGCCUGAUGCAGCAACGCCGCGUGCGGGAUGACGGCCUUCGGGUUGUAAACCGCUUUCGCCUGUGACGAAGCGUGAGUGACGGUAAUGGGUAAAGAAGCACCGGCUAACUACGUGCCAGCAGCCGCGGUGAUACGUAGGGUGCGAGCGUUGUCCGGAUUUAUUGGGCGUAAAGGGCUCGUAGGUGGUUGAUCGCGUCGGAAGUGUAAUCUUGGGGCUUAACCCUGAGCGUGCUUUCGAUACGGGUUGACUUGAGGAAGGUAGGGGAGAAUGGAAUUCCUGGUGGAGCGGUGGAAUGCGCAGAUAUCAGGAGGAACACCAGUGGCGAAGGCGGUUCUCUGGGCCUUUCCUGACGCUGAGGAGCGAAAGCGUGGGGAGCGAACAGGCUUAGAUACCCUGGUAGUCCACGCUGUAAACGGUGGGUACUAGGUGUGGGGUCCAUUCCACGGGUUCCGUGCCGUAGCUAACGCUUUAAGUACCCCGCCUGGGGAGUACGGCCGCAAGGCUAAAACUCAAAGGAAUUGACGGGGCCCCGCACAAGCGGCGGAGCAUGCGGAUUAAUUCGAUGCAACGCGUAGAACCUUACCUGGGUUUGACAUGGAUCGGGAGUGCUCAGAGAUGGGUGUGCCUCUUUUGGGGUCGGUUCACAGGUGGUGCAUGGCUGUCGUCAGCUCGUGUCGUGAGAUGUUGGGUUAAGUCCCGCAACGAGCGCAACCCUUGUUCACUGUUGCCAGCACGUUAUGGUGGGGACUCAGUGGAGACCGCCGGGGUCAACUCGGAGGAAGGUGGGGAUGACGUCAAGUCAUCAUGCCCCUUAUGUCCAGGGCUUCACGCAUGCUACAAUGGCUGGUACAGAGAGUGGCGAGCCUGUGAGGGUGAGCGAAUCUCGGAAAGCCGGUCUCAGUUCGGAUUGGGGUCUGCAACUCGACCUCAUGAAGUCGGAGUCGCUAGUAAUCGCAGAUCAGCAACGCUGCGGUGAAUACGUUCCCGGG